AUUUCAGAAUGCGUUGCGCCUCCUGCGGGGGGCCGGGGCCCGCAUCGCCAUCAUGACCUCCACGGAGUUUGAGCACUGCUGGGAACCCUUUGUGGACAAUCAGGGAAGAGCCUUCGAGCCCCGGGACACGCUGGUCUCCCAGAGUCAGGACCUCGCUGAGACGCUGCAGGUCACAGAAAGCCUGAAGGGUGGGCCUCAGUCCCGCUAAGAACGCAGGAGGCCUCUGUUGGACAGCAGAAUAAA